AGCGCUCCUCGGUCAGGGUGACCCACCAGCCCUUGUGGGGCUGCGUCGACCUCCGGUUGUAGGCCGGGGCGUGCGC
rnacentral:tRNA from 1 species